GGCCGGAAACGGCCCACUGUUGCUGAGAAGUUGAUCAAACUUGGUCAUUUAGAGGAAGUAAAAGUCGUAACAAGGUUUCCGUAGGUGAACCUGCGGAAGGAUCAUUACCGAAUUGUCAACACGAGUUGUUGCUGGUCCUCAGACGAGGGCAUGCGCACGCUCUGUUUACACAUCCACUCACACCUGUGCACCCUCUGUAGUUCUAUGGUCUGAGGGGCUCUGUCCUCUCGCCGUGGCUCUAUGUCUUUACACACGCACUGUAAUAAAGUUUCAUGGAAUGCAUGACGCGUUUAACGCAAUACAAUACAACUUUCAGCAACGGAUCUCUUGGCUCUCGCAUCGAUGAAGAACGCAGCGAAAUGCGAUAAGUAAUGUGAAUUGCAGAAUUCAGUGAAUCAUCGAAUCUUUGAACGCACCUUGCGCCCUUUGGCUAUUCCAGAGGGCAUGCCUGUUUGAGUAUCAUGAACACCUCAACUCUCACGGUUUGCCGUGAUGAGCUUGGACUUUGGAGGUCUUGCCGGCCCGUGGUUGGCUCCUCUCAAAUGAAUCAGCUUGCCAGUGUUUGGUGGCAUCCCAGGUGUGAUAACUAUCUACGCUUGUGGCUUUCCACCAGGUAACCUUCAGCGAUGGAGGUUCGCUGGGGCUCACAAAUGUCUCUCCCAAGUGAGGACGGCUUCUUGAAUGUUUGAUCUCAAAUCAGGUAGGGCUACCCGCUGAACUUAAGCAUAUCAAUAAGCGGAGGAAAAGAAACUAACAAGGAUUCCCCUAGUAACUGCGAGUGAAGCGGGAAGAGCUCAAAUUUAAAAUCUGGCGUCCUCUGGUCGUCCGAGUUGUAGUCUGGAGAAGCGUUUUCCGUGUCGGANCGUGUAUAAGUCUCUUGGAACA
rnacentral:rRNA from 1 species